rnacentral:rRNA from 1 species
CCUACGGGAGGCAGCAGUGAGGAAUAUUGGUCAAUGGGCGAGAGCCUGAACCAGCCAAGUAGCGUGAAGGAUGACUGCCCUACGGGCUGUAAACUUUUUCUAUAAAGGAAUAAAGUGAGUCUCGUGUGCAGCUUUGCAUGUACGUUAUGAACAAGGAUCGGAUAACCUCGCGCCGGCAGCGCCGGCAAGACGGAGGGUGCGAGCGUUAAUCGGAAUUACCUGGCGGAAAGCGAUCGUAGGCGGUAUGUCAAGUCAAGGGUGAAAUCCCCGCGCUCAACGUGGGAACUGCCUUUGAAAUUGGCAAACGGGAGUGUGUGAGAGGAUAGUGGAAUUCCAGGUGUAGGAGUGAAAUCCGUAGAUAUCUGGAGGAACAUCAGUGGCGAAGGCGACUAUCUGGCACAUAACUGACGCUGAGGAGCGAAAGCGUGGGUAGCAAACAGGAUUAGAUACCCCAGUAGUC